rnacentral:rRNA from 1 species
UACGUGAGGGGCGAGCGUUGUCCGGAAUUAUUGGGCGUAAAGAGCGUGUAGGCGGUUCGGUAAGUCUGCCGUGAAAACCUGGGGCUCAACCCUGGGCGUGCGGUGGAUACUGCCGGGCUAGAGGGUGGUAGAGGCGAGUGGAAUUCCCGGUGUAGCGGUGAAAUGCGCAGAUAUCGGGAGGAACACCAGUAGCGAAGGCGGCUCGCUGGGCCAUUCCUGACGCUGAGACGCGAAAGCUAGGGGAGCGAACAGG